rnacentral:rRNA from 1 species
UACCAGCACCCCGAGUGGUCGGGACGAUUAUUGGGCCUAAAAGCAUCCGUAGCCGGUUCUGCAAGUCCUCCGUUAAAUCCACCUGCUCAACAGAUGGGCUGACGGGGGAUACCGCAGAGCUAGGAGGCGGGAGAGGCAAACGGUACUCAGUGGGUAGGGGUAAAAGUCCAUUGAUCCGACUGAAGACCACCAGUGGCGAAGGCGGUUUGCCAGAACGCGCUCGACGGUGAGGGAUGAAAGCUGGGGGAGCAAACCGGG